rnacentral:rRNA from 1 species
UACAGAGGUCUCAAGCGUUGUUCGGAUUCAUUGGGCGUAAAGGGUGCGUAGGUGGCGAGGUAAGUUGGAUGUGAAAUCCCGGGGCUCAACCCCGGAACUGAAUUCAAUACUGCCUUGCUGGAGUACUGGAGAGGAGAUUGGAAUUUACGGUGUAGCAGUGAAAUGCGUAGAUAUCGUAAGGAAGACCAGUGGCGAAGGCGGAUCUCUGGACAGUUACUGACACUGAGGCACGAAGGCCAGGGGAGCAAACGGG